UCUCCUACGGGACGCAGCAGUGAGGAAUAUUGGUCAAUGGGCUUACGCCUGAACCAGCCAAGUCGCGUGAGGGAAGACUGCCCUAUGGGUUGUAAACCUCUUUUGUCAGGGAGCAACGCCGGCUACGUGUAGCCGGACUGAGAGUACCUGAAGAAAAAGCAUCGGCUAACUACGUGCCAGCAGCCGCGGUAAUACGUAGGUGGCAAGCGUUGUCCGGAUUUACUGGGUGUAAAGGGCGUGCAGCCGGGCUGACAAGUCAGAUGUGAAAUCCCGCGGCUCAACCGCGGAACUGCAUUUGAAACUGU
rnacentral:rRNA from 1 species